rnacentral:lncRNA from 1 species
GGGCAGCAAUGCCAAUAAGAAUGCCGAAGUUAAGGAGGCACUGGACCCAGUCAGGGUCAACGCAGUGAUCGGCUACACAUGCAGCAAGUUUUCCACUUCAACACUGCAGCUGAAGAAUAGCUUGUCGUCGAUGUUGGCACGAGAGCUCAGGUGAUGUGCUGCGCACACGAAGUAUUUAUAAUAUUAAAGGACGAUUUGUUGAA